UGUGGCUCAGUGGUAGAGUGCUUGCCUAGCAGGCAUGAGGCACUGGGUUCGAUCUCCAGCA
rnacentral:tRNA from 1 species